GCGACAUUUUUCUAGGUUAAACCAUAGACAUAUAUAUGUUUCUAGAUUCCACUGCAGCCUACAAUUCCCGCGGUGAAUCUCGUGGCGCGUUUGUUUAUGACGUCACACAACAUAUAAAUACCGUUCAUUCGCGUGAUAGCAUUCUCUUGGAAUCUGUGCUAUCUUUUUGAGACACUCCUCCCAAACAUGAGAGGGAAGUGGAGGAAGAAGCGCAUGCGUAGGCUGAAGCGCAAAAGGAGAAAGAUGAGGCAGAGGUCCAAGUAAACUGCUUCCCUUCUGCUGCAGCUGGAACUGCUCCUCCUAGACCUUCCCACCGACCCCUCGCCUUCUCCAGAAACCCAAGCUGAGGCCUUUUGAAGGACUCCUACAUUCCUCAGAAGGAUGCGGGCACCCUUGUUGGAUCUCCUGGCUCUUCUAUUUGUGAUGUGCUGACCUGUGAAAGCUUCUCUUGGACAUUCUGGACUUCCGCCAGCUCAGCAAAGUUUUUGUUUAUAUUUCCUUGAAUAAAGAAAUUUGAUUUGGAAAAGGGGAAAUGCUGUAUUCUAUUUCUACCACUACGAUGGUACAGGUUUUUUUUUUUUUUUUUUUAAUGCUCCAGUUUUAUAGUUGGACUGGUGGGGGUUUAGUUAACCUGUGAUGUAGUGUAGAUGGUCAAAUAAGGUUUUCUUGGUUAGAGUUCAUGGAAUUUCACCAAGUUUUAAAAAAAAAAAACGGACCAGGAAAAUAUUUCGCUCCAUGUCUAGGAAUGAAGUUCAUCCAACCAUGGUGACCCUGAUCCCUAGGAAGCUUGAUUUAACAGAACCUCACAUUCCAUCGAAAAUGACAUGCUCUAAAGGUGCCAUCUGUCGGAUCGCCGCAGAAAUGGCAUAUGGUAUCAUAAGUGUUUUCUUUACUGUAUUACCUGUAAUUAGAAAUUGUGUUGGCUUAAUGCGCACUUCAUAUCUAUAUAGAGAGCGGGUCCUCUUCUGCAGGCUCUGCCGUGUUGUACCGCCAUGUUUGUACAGUAGCCCAGAAUGGUGUUU
ensembl:lncRNA